rnacentral:rRNA from 1 species
UGGGGAAUAUUGGACAAUGGGCGCAAGCCUGAUCCAGCCAUGCCGCGUGUGUGAAGAAGGCCUUCGGGUUGUAAAGCACUUUCAGUAGGGAGGAAGCGUUGUGUGUUAAUAGUACACAGCGUUGACGUUACCUACAGAGGAAGCACCGGCUAACUCUGUGCCAGCAGCCGCGGUAAUACAGAGGGUGCAAGCGUUAAUCGGAAUUACUGGGCGUAAAGCGCACGUAGGCGGUUUUUUAAGUCAGAUGUGAAAGCCCCGGGCUCAACCUGGGAAUUGCAUUUGAAACUGGAAAACUAGAGUGUGUGAGAGGGGGGUAGAAUUCCAAGUGUAGCGGUGAAAUGCGUAGAGAUUUGGAGGAAUACCAGUGGCGAAGGCGGCCCCCUGGCACAACACUGACGCUCAGGUGCGGAAGCGUGGGGAGCAAACAGGAUUAGAUACCCUGGUAGUCCACGCCGUAAACGAUGUCUACUAGCUGUUCGUGACCUUGUGUCGUGAGUAGCGCAGCUAACGCAUUAAGUAGACCGCCUGGGGAGUACGGUCGCAAGAUUA